GACGAACGCUGGCGGCGUGCUUAACACAUGCAAGUCGAACGGAAAGGCCCUGCUUUUGUGGGGUGCUCGAGUGGCGAACGGGUGAGUAACACGUGAGUAACCUGCCCUUGACUUUGGGAUAACUUCAGGAAACUGGGGCUAAUACCGGAUAGGAGCUCCUGCUGCAUGGUGGGGGUUGGAAAGUUUCGGCGGUUGGGGAUGGACUCGCGGCUUAUCAGCUUGUUGGUGGGGUAGUGGCUUACCAAGGCUUUGACGGGUAGCCGGCCUGAGAGGGUGACCGGCCACAUUGGGACUGAGAUACGGCCCAGACUCCUACGGGAGGCAGCAGUGGGGAAUAUGACACAAUGGGCGGAAGCCUGAUGCAGCAACGCCGCGUGCGGGAUGACGGCCUUCGAGUUGUAAACCGCUUUCGCCGGUGACGAAGCGUGAGUGACGGUAAUGGGUAAAGAAGCACCGGCUAACUACGUG
rnacentral:rRNA from 1 species